CCAGACUCCUACGGGAGGCAGCAGCUAAGAAUAUUCCGCAAUGGACGGAAGUCUGACGGAGCGACGCCGCGUGGAUGAAGAAGGCUGAAAAGUUGUAAAAUCCUUUUGUUGAUGAAGAAUAAGGGGAAGAGGGAAUGCUUCUCUGAUGACGGUAGUCGGCGAAUAAGCCCCGGCUAAUUACGUGCCAGCAGCCGCGGUAACACGUAAGGGGCGAGCGUUGUUCGGAAUUAUUGGGCGUAAAGGGCAUGUAGGCGGUUAUGUAAGCCUGAUGUGAAAUCCUGGGGCUUAACCCCAGAAUAGCAUUGGGUACUGUGUAACUUGAAUUACGGAAGGGAAACUGGAAUUCCAAGUGUAGGGGUGGAAUCUGUAGAUAUUUGGAAGAACACCGGUGGCGAAGGCGGGUUUCUGGCCGAUAAUUGACGCUGAGAUGCGAAAGUGUGGGGAUCGAACAGGAUUAGAUACCCUGGUAGUCCACACCGUAAACGAUGUACACUAGGUGUUGGGGCAAGAGCUUCAGUGCCAAAGCAAACGCGAUAAGUGUACCGCCUGGGGAGUAUGCCCGCAAGGGUGAAACUCACAGGAAUUGACGGGGGCCCGCACAAG
rnacentral:rRNA from 1 species